GAGAAAUGAGGAUAUAUACUUUUGUCUGACUGUUACAGUGAAGACUUCAGAUCCAACUCUGAUCUCACUCUGUGU
ensembl:snoRNA small nucleolar RNA, C/D box 19C